rfam:Dipodomys ordii contig_1590, whole genome shotgun sequence.
GGGAAUGUGGCUUAGUGGUAGAGUACUUGCCUAGCAUGCAUGAAGCCCUGAGUUCGAUUCCUUAGUACCACCC